CAGGUAAAGUAUUGAAUACUGAAGACAAAGUGAUGAAAGACAUCCCUGCCCUUAAGGAGCUUAUAUUCUAGUGGAGAUUGGAGAAGGAGACACAUAAUAUACAAAGCACCGCUAUGAAAAUAGAAGAGAGAUGAGGAAAUGAGUCCUACUUUGCAGAAACCAAAUUACGCUGCAUGAGAACUGAUAUUCCUAAGGAGCCAGGGUUCUAAAGGGAACAUGAAGACUUCUCGGUGCUGAGGGUGGAAGAAAAUUAUUCAUGUGCUUUUUGCUGGAAGUGAUAAGCUUCAUCUCCACUCAUAUUUCAUUGGUCAUCUCUUAUUUCCUAAGCCAGAAGACGAGAGGGCCACUGCAAG
rnacentral:lncRNA from 1 species